AUUGAGCUGACACGUAUCUAUUGGAAUGGUUGGCUUUCUGCUGCUAAUCCUUUGUGUGCAUUUUCGGUGCUCCUCUAGAAUAUUUUUGGAUCCCAUUUGAACCCACGUACGGGGUACCAUCAAUAUUGGUCUUCUAUCUGUGUGUCCAUAGCUCUAGCACCGCUUUAGGCAUCCUUUAUUUCUUUUGUCUCCCCACGUGGACUAUCUAGAUGACGCAGGAAGUUUCCAACCGACACACAUUUUCAGAUAUCUUCCUCUCCUCUCUCCACUCAACACGACGGAUUAGAUGUCGAGGAUCUUCCCCACACCACCACCGACGCCGACCUGGCGUCCGUCGACGAUGGCGAGAAGGGGAUCCGCCUCGACGUUCACCUCCCGCCCCACUGCGCAUCCGGCGACACCAAGACAUCGGCGGCAGCGCCGCCCUCCACCACACGUGCUCCUGUGCUCCCACAUGGCCUCCUCCGUGCUCGACCCCCCUACCCAAUCUCUCCAAGGCCGAGCCUUCCCCAGCCGCGAGCUCCCGUUGCCGAUCUCCUUCGUGUCGGCGGCCGUGGUGGGGGUCGGGUCCCGCUCCGGUGUCGCAGCCAUCUGCAAGGCACACCGGCUUCCCGGACAGAGCUCCUCACUUGGACGGCGCCUAGCCUUCUCCAUGGUAUCCGCGCAUCGGCGCUCAGUGCGCAACAUGCCCAUCGACCUGGCCCUAGAGCUCGACGACGCCGACGUCAUAUGGGCCGGAGGAGGCGCGGUGGCAUCAUUGCCGGUUGAUGCCUACGGGCGCACUCUGUCCAUGUUCGUGCGUGCCUCCAUGGCUCUAAGUUGAGCGCGCCGCACCGCGGGAGGCUGCCGGUGGCGUUGGGUUUGGCGGACCGUAAAUGCACGUGAACAUUCCGGACUGCAGUAGGCAGGUCUCCACGGCCACCGAUCUGGGGCGCGGUGUCUGCGCCUGCUCCGGCUCCUCCAGGCGGCGGUGCUGCGGGACGGCGGUGGCCGUGCGUUGUGCGUCGAGCUUCUGCCUGCAAGCCGCACAAUUGCUGGUGGAUGGCGGUCGCGCUGCAGGGCUCCGGCAACUACUGCAGCCGCGACGAGUGUCUCUUCUUUGCAGAUCAAUCAAGAGGGCUAGGACCUUGGAGCCUAGGAGGCUCUUCUUUUACUUUGCUUUCUAAGAAUCUGCUUUCCGUGUCCUCUCUAGCCGUGCUGAACAACAUGGUCUCAUUUUAUUAGAAGUUUAGACAACCCAGGAAUUUGUUUUAGUUAUAAGUAGAGCCAAUUAUUAUGAUGUGGAUGUAAACAUGUUCUUCCCACCAUUAACUUAGUUAUAAUUGUUUGGAACGUGUUAGCAAGAUGCUAAGGUCUCACCUCUCACAUACUGAUUUGGAUGUAGCACAGCACCCAUGUACUGCGAGUCACACAUGUGGAGGGGUGAAUCUUGGGGCUGUAGUGGUUGUAGAAUCUGGUGAUUCACCGGACAGCGAAAUAUAUUGGUUAAAACGCUGAUGAUUUGUCAGUAGGUUUGUUUGCACACUCCCAUUUUUUCCUUGCAGGUGAAACCAUAUAUUUAUCCUACUGAAAUAGUUUCAUUGAGCUCCCUAAUUUCAACUGUCUCACUAAUUACGUGAAUCUGAGAUAUGUCCUGGAACUAAUUGUCUUGAAAAGAAUUGCGAAAGGUGAUGUGUGUGACAAGUCCUAUACUUUGCUUAUGUGUGCUAUAUGAAGAGUUAUUAACGAACUAAUGCCAAUCUGAUGUCUGCUGAACCUUCUCCAAAGAGGCUUGAAGCAGAUGAUUCACCAUUUGUGAAAUGUGAAAGCAGCUAGGUGCAAAAUGUGUAAAUCCAUACAAUUUCUAUUGCCGUGAUGGCGUGAUAGUUCAGUUCUUUACAGGGAGGAAGCUGGAGUAUGAGAUUUAAUUUGUAUGGAUGAAUGUAGAGGUCCACCGGCAUCUAUAUCUAUAUAUUGUACAUGUAUGUUUUUUUUUUGCAUUUUCUCAGUGGCUUAUCUGUCUUGUAUUCGCAGGAAACUGCAUUGCCCAGUGUCGAGUACGAGGUGGCCAUACUGCUGUUUAUCCCAAGCAAGUUCCCUGCAACUCCCAAAGACAUCUAUUGAGGGAUGACAUGACAAAGUAUCUGAAGAGAACCGAGCUCCAGUAGAGAUAUUUCACUAAGCAGCGUGGCACCUGGAGUCUACGCGGCAUUCAUGUGUGUGUGUUUGCCAGCCAAUUGAUGUUCCUUGCAUGCCAUGUGAGUCCACUAGAAUUCUCUCUGAAUCCCUUCUUUUUUUCCAUGGUGGUUGGCCAUGUUUGGUAUAAUGUUGCCAUAGAGGUACAUAGCAUCUGGGCAUGUGGUGAAUAGGACUGAUAUUUAUUGUGUUAGUUCUUGAUAGAUAGCAAGCUAAUCCAUCAGCAUUACAAGGAAAAAUAAUUGAUCCAUCAGGAACAACAACUGCUACUGCAUUAAUCGAAGUGCCUUAUAUUGACUUUUUUUUAAAGGCCUUAUUCAUUGGAAGUAUGUUUCAAAUAUUUUGGGAACAAACUUCUACUGAAAAUUCAGAUCAUACUUGGCGAACCGCACGAGGUCACCAUGCUCAGCUGAAGGCCUUUAGCUGCCGUUGUCAAAUUUUAUUUUAGUAAAAUUUGAAGCCAAAUGGUAGUCUGAGGGUACAUUAAAUAUCCUCUCCCCCUAAAGUUGAUUCGAUGGAUUAUUCCGAACUUCAAUAUGUGAAGCUCUUUGGACCGUGCUAUUACUGGUUAGUAUAUUAUCUAACCAAUGCCAGGAUGUUAAGGUGUGUACUGAUUGAAACUGUUGUUUCAGAACUCUAUUAUAUCCAAAGGAUUAUAGACCUACCAGCCCUAUUGGAAGUUCUGUGUGUGUGCUCCAAAUCAUCUGCAUGUCGUCUUGCCAAACAACCACAAGGGGAAGCACCCUCCAUUAUAAAUUUGCUUAUAUUCAGGGACUUGCUUUUCAAUUUAGAACCUAGAGAUAGCUUUUGACACCAGAGGCCCUGACUGCUUUGUUUUUGCACAUGGAAACCAAACUUCCCAUUAACAUCCUAGCAAUAUAGCUGCCUAUAAAAACAUGAAUAAAUUCUGGCGCAUCUCUUGGCCAUUCUUGCGCUCGCGGUGGCACCUCUGCCUUCCGUGCCAAUUUUCCUGCAUCUUCCCGCGUUCAUCAUCGUGGCCGACAACCUCUGCCUCACCAUCUUCUCCUCACUGACGCCUCCCUGUUUCGGUUGCUGCCCUGGGUCGCCCGCGGUGACUGAAUGUGGACGAGAAGAGUAGCCAUGCAGACAACCUUGGUGAAGGAUCUAUCACCUCGGGGAUUUCAAUGGAAGAUCAUUGUGUGUCGCUCGAAUCUGGAAACAUAGGGAUCAAGUGACCCGAUGUAAUUUGUUCGAGCUGGACUCCAUUGUCAUUGACUAAGAGGUACCUUCUAAAUACUCAGACUCAUAAAUACAAUGCAUUUAAUUAACUUGAAUUAUUUACCCCCUUAUUUGUCAGUACCCACUAUAUUAUAUGAAAAAUAUUCAGUGGACACUUAUGUUUUUACCUGUAGGGAUUCGUAGCAUAGAAAACAAAAAUUUUCCUACCGCGAGAACGCAAUCCAAGCCAAGAUGCAAUCUAGAAGACGGUAGCAACGAGGGGAUGAACGAGACUAACCCUUGAAGAUUUCCAAAGCCUACAAGAGGAGGCUCUCGUUGCUGCGGUAAACGAUCACUUGCCGCUUUCAAAAGCGCGUAGAAGAUCUUGACGGUGCCACAAUCGGGCAGCACCUCCGUACUCGGUCACACGUUCGGUGUUGAUGAAGACGACGUCCUUCUCCCCGUUCCAGCGGGCAGCGGAAGUAGUAGAUCCUCCUCGGAAUCCCGGCAGCACGACGGCGUGGUGGCGGUGGUGGUGGAGAUCUCCGACAGAGCUUCGCCUAAGCUAUGUGGGAGAGAGAAGGAGAAGGGAACCGCUAGGGUUUCUGGGAGAGGGGGGCUCUUGGGGGGUGCGGCCAUGGUGGUCUUGGUCUGGCCGGCCAGCCCCUCCCCUCCCCUCUUUAUAUAGGUGGAAGCCCUAAGGAUUAGGUCAAAAGUCUCCGAAUAAGACCCCAACAUAAAACCUUCCAUAUGACCAAACCUAGGGGGAGUGGGACUCCCCCCUUUCCUUUGGUGGGGUGGCCGGCCACCAUGGGGAGGAGUCCACUUGGGACUCCUCCUCCCUUAGGCUGGCCGGCCAAGGUGGGUGGAGUUCCAGAAGUCCCUCUGGGACUCCACCUUCCAUGCUUAUUUCUUCCGGACUCUUCUAGAACCUUCUAGAACCUUCCAGAGAAAAUACCGGAUCAUUUUCAAACCUAGAAAAUGACUUCUAUAUAUGAAUCUUAUUCUCCGGACCAUUCCGGACCUCCUCGUGAUGUCCUGGAUCCCAUCCGAGACUCCGAACAAAACUUCGAACUCCAUUCCAUAUUUCCAUAUCUACUUAAACGACAUCAAACCUUAAGUGUGUCACCCUACGGUUCGCGAACUAUGCAGACAUGGUUGAGACUUCUCUCCGACCAAUAACCAAUAGCGGGAUCUGGAGAUCCAUAAUGGCUCCCACAUAUUAAACGAUGACUUAGUGAUCGAAUGAACCAUUCACAUACGAUACCAAUUCCCUUUGUCACGCGAUAUUUUACUUGUCUGAGGUUUGAUCAUCGGUAUCUCUCUAUACCUUGUUCAACCUCGUCACCUGACAAGUACUCUUUACUCGUACCGUGGUAUGUAGUCUCUUAUGAACUUAUUCAUAUGCUUGCAAGCUAAUUAGACGACAUUCCACCGAGAGGGUCCAGAGUAUAUCUAUCCGUCAUCGGGAUGGACAAAUCCCACUCUUGAUCCAUAUGCCUCAACUCACACUUUCCGAAUACUUAAUCCCAUCUUUAUAACCACCCAUUUACGCGGUGGCGUUUGAUGUAAUCAAAGUACCCUUCCGGUAUAAGUGAUUUACAUGAUCUCAUGGUCGAAGGACUAGGUAACUAUGUAUCGGAAGCUAUUAGCAAGUUGAACUUAAUGACGUGAUCUUAUGCUACGCUUAUUUGGGUGUGUGUCCAUUAUAUCAUUCAUCUAAUGACAUAACCUUGUUAUUAAUAACAUCCAAUGUUCAUGAUCACGAAACCACGAUCAUCUAUUAAUCAACAAGCUAGUUAUACAAGAGGCUUACUAGGGACUCCUUGUUGUUUACAUAACACAUAUCAAUGUUUCGGUUAAUACAAUUAUAGCAUGGUAUGCAAACAUUUAUCAUAAACACAAAGAUAUAUUAUAAUAACCAUUUUAUUAUUGCCUCUUGGGCAUAUCUCCAACAUCCUUUGGAAUACCAGAGAACACCUUUAUGAUCACCCUGUCAUGAAAUGACAUUUGAUGCAAUCAGAGCAGCCUCUGGUGAAAGCGAUGAUAUAUGAUCUCACGGUCUAAGAAUAUAUGUCUUCACGCUUACAUAAACAUCAUAACGUUCAAUUUAGUGACAUGAUUGUGUUACAAUAUUUAUGUAUUGAGUAAUUCCAUCAUAUCAUUCACCUACUGAUACGACUUCAUUGUCAAUGACGUGUGUGCCCAUGAUCGGGAAACAUCGAUCAUCGAUUGACCUCAAUGAACUUGUUUGUGUAUGCUCACUAGGGAUCCUGGUUUGGUUACAAUAUCACGUGUGUAUCAAUGUUUCCAAUUGAUAUAGUUAUAGCAUGACACAAAACUAUUAUGAACUAAUGAGAUAUAAUAAAAUAAAUACUACUUACUAUUUGCCUCUAGAGCACUAUCUCCAACGAAGAAGCGGUGGUUGAUCUGUAGCCGCACCUAUUAGAGUAUAUAAUGUGUAGUCAUAUUAGGUAGUUUAAUGGUCCGAGUGCCAUGAUCUCAGAUCUGAACAUGUUAUUGUUUCAUCAUGAUAUUCAUUGUUUAUUGAUCUUACCUGCAAGUUGUAUACACAUGUCGCUGUCCGGAACCGAUGGCCCCGAAGUGACAGAAAUCGGGACAACCGGAGGGGAUGGUAGUGAUGUGAGGAUCACAUGUGUUCACGGAGUGUUAAUGUUUUGCUCCGGUACUCUAUUAAAAGGAGUACCUUAAUAUCCAGUAGAUUCCCUUGAGGCCCGGCUGCCACCGGCUGGUAGGACAAAAGAUGUUGUGCAAGUUUCUCAUUGCGAGCACGUACGACUAUAUAUGGAACACAUGCCUAUUGAUUGAUUAGUACUUGGAUACCGUUUUAUUAUUAUCUGCAAAUGCCCCUGCUUUGAUUGUUACAUGAGUUUCUCUCAUCAAUGCAACGCCCGUUCAUCCGUCCCCGUGCCUACAGUAUUUUAAUCCUGCUGUUUACUAUAAUCACUGCUGCUGUCUUUGUUACUCUGCUGCUGUUAUUUCACUACUGCUACUGCUAUAAAACUGUUACUAUUGAUAAACUCUUGCGAGCAAGUCUGUUUCCAGGUGCAGCUGAAUUGACAACUCCGCUGUUAAGGCUUCCAAGUAUUCUUUGUCUCCCCUUGUGUCGAAUCAAUAAAUUGGGUUAUACUACCCGCGAAGACUGCUGCGAUCCCCUAUACUUGUGGGUCAUCAGUAUCCUAAUAACUAUGCUCGAUGCCCCUCUUUUUGUUUCUCUUCGACGGAUCAAUCGAUUUAUUUGGAUGUGCUUCAUGGCUCAAUUGUGAUCACUGGAUUACCCGAAAUAAUUUUACUCCCUCCGAUCCAUAUUACUUGAUGGUAAUAUCGGAGGGAGUACAAUUAAGUUAUUU